rnacentral:misc_RNA from 1 species
AGUUUGUUAUUCAUCUUCUAUUUAGUGAAAUCACUCAAUAUUUUUUUUCUUAUUAAAUAUACUUAUUCAAUGAUGUUUUUUAUCCGAAAAGUGUAUGUAAGAAAAAUACCCACUACUAAGCAUUCCCUCUUAAAUAGAUUGACAAAAAACAAAUAUUUAUCCAAUUGGAAAAAUUUAUUUUUCAAUGAUUUUUGUUAUAUAAUUUCAAAAUAUUCAUAAAAGUUAUUUGAAAGUGUAAAAAACUUGAUGGCUUGCAAGGUUUUUGAGUUGUCCGUCAGUUUUCUGUGUUGUGUUCCAGUGUUGGUGUUUUUUUUUCUGUUUUCAAGAUGGUGGUUCGCUAGAAGAAUUGAAAUAAUUUUCCGAGACUAAAUUUGUCUUGGAUUCUUGAUUGAUAAGAAUCUAUUCUGUUAUUUCAGUUAUAAGUUUGAAAAGUGUUAAUCUUGUAGUGAAAUGCUAGUUCAAGAACCUGUAAAGGCGGCCAUCUGGCAUUGUCUAAAUCAUUACGCUUACCCAGACGCCAUAUUUCUAGCUGAACGACUAAGAGCUGAAGUUGACUCUGAAGAUACAUUAUUUCUGCUGGCAACGUGCUAUUACCGCAGUGGCAAACCAGCUCAGGCAUAUUCCCUAUUGAAUGAGAAAGGUGCCAACUCUCCACAAUGCAAAUAUCUUCUGGCCAAAUGCUGUUUGGAACUCAACAAAUUGUCAGAAGCAGAGUCAGCGCUGACAGGCGGCGGGUGCGGCGGUGCAGUGAGCCUGGACGACGUGACAUGUGAGUUUGGCGAGGCGGCCGGCUUUGCGCUAGCCCUGGUGGCGCGAGUCUGCUACGCCAGCGACCGCACAGCGCGUGGAGCCGACGCCUACCGCCGCGCGCUGCGUGUCAACCCAUUCCUGUGGCACUCGUUCGAGGAGCUGUGUCAUCGCGGCGAGAAGCCCGACCCGAACAAGGUGUUCUCGCUCAACAGCCUCGACAAUCUGUCGGCCAUCAUCGGAUCCAGUCAGGUGGCCUCGUUGCACAAUGUGACUGUCACCGCCAACGCAAACACCAGCUCCACCUACUGCGAGCCACUCGAUCAUGUCUAUGUCAACAGUAGCAGUACGCCAGUGCAAGUACAGAACGUACUGAGCAGUAAUAUCGCUAUAAGUGGUAUUCGACCUCAGUACACGCCUGAGGAGACUGUACACAGCACGUUGAAUAGCCACGCCCCCAAACGAAAUCCAUGCAAAGAAUUCACACAGAAACUAUUCUCCAACAUCAGCUAUUCCCCAUUUUCGCCCAGUUUUGGAGUAUUUCCAAUUGAUUACACGUCAAGUCCCAGUGACGUGAUUACGUCGCCAAUGGCUCCUUCCAGUAUGGCUCUACCCCCAUCCACACUCACUGAAGCCAACGACCAGAAAGGCCUUAGCAAACGCAUGAUGAAUCGCAAAGACACACCGUUGCACCAGUCGAAGCCAGUGUUCAGCCAGUGCUCAGGCAAUCUCACCUCUCCCAGCGCCCCUCCCACGCCCCACGCCCAUUCCCCCCUCCAGUCGGCGCAGAACGUACGGCGCAGCUCACGGCUAUUCUCCAACAGCUACUCUGUCAAGGAAAACAACAAGAGUCCGAACAGGAAUAAAUUCGUGACGCCGAAAUCGCCGAGGAAGGUGAAAAGUCGAAUAUCGAAGACGAACCUGAACAAGCCGUCGUACACCGACCUGAACGAGCGCAACCGAGUGGUCGGGGGCGGGGGCGGUGGGGGUGGAGGUGUGGUGGGGGGUGGUGAGAGGGCGGAGACCAUCACUGGGCUGGAGGAGGCCAACGCUGCCGCUCAUCAGACCAUCACCCGCCAGGCCCUGUCUCUGCAGAAGCAGUCCAUCGAAGGCCUUAUGUCGUUGCUAAGGGAAAUAGGAACAGCUUAUCUGCAUCUUUCACAAUACAACUGUCAAAAAGCUAUAGCCUGCUUGAAUGACCUACCGCUGAGACAUUACAAUAGUGGCUGGGUGCUAUGUGUGUUAGGAAAAGCCCACUUCGAAAUGAACGACUUUCAACAAGCUAUCAAACUGUUUAGCCGCGUUCGCCAGCUGGAGCCGUACCGACAACAGCUGAUGGAGGUGCUGAGCACGGCGCUGUGGCAGCUGCAGCGAGAGGCCCAGCUGUCAGUGCUGGCACAGGAGCUGAUUGCCCUGGACCGGCACUCUCCCGCCGCCUGGUGUGCCGCCGGCAACUGCUUCAGUCUCCAGAAGGAGCACGACACCGCCAUCAAGUUCUUCCAUAGGGCUGUGCAAGUAGAUCCUAAUUUCGUUUAUGCAUAUACACUUCUAGGUCAUGAAUAUGUGAUAACCGAAGAAUUAGAAAAAGCAAUGAGUUGUUUUAGGAAUGCAAUUCGUAUAUGUCCUAGACAUUAUAACGCGUGGUACGGAAUAGGAACAAUAUAUUCGAAACAAGAGAGGUUCAAAUUAGCUGAACUACAUUUUAGAAGUGCAUUGAAGAUUAAUCCAAACAAUGCUGUUCUUAUGUGUCACAUCGGAGUGAUGCAGAACGCGCUGAUGAAGACUGAAGAGGCGUUGCAGACGCUGAACGCAGCGCUGGAGAAGGAACCACGCAACCCGCUCUGCAAGUUCCACCGCGCCUCCAUCUACUUCGCGGCCGGCCGCCACGCCGAGGCGCUCCACGAACUACAACACCUCAAAACCAUAGUUCCCAAAGAAUCUCUAGUCUAUUACCUAACAGGAAAGGUUUAUAAAAAGUUGGGACAGACACAUUUAGCAUUAAUGCACUUCAGCUGGGCUACAGAUCUGGAUCCGAAAGGUGCCAAUAGUCAAAUAAAAGAGGCAAUUGACCCAGCCAUCUCUCGAUCUCAAGCUGAAGAAUCUUUGAGCGUGGCCCCCCUUUUCCAUUCGUCAAAUCAAGAUUUAUAAUAUGAAGAAAUCUAAUUGAAAAAAUGUCAUGAAACCGCAGGUUCAUGACAGUCAAUGAAGAAAAAGGGAAGCAGUACACAGAAAACAGGUGUAGAGUUUGUGAACGGUUCGAAUGCAGGGCUGACUCCGGACGCGUCACUAGAAGCGCCGCUUGUAAUACAGGAGAGCGAUGAAGGGAGUCUCUAGUAAUAGCCAACGCCAACCCAAGUAUUAUAAUCAUCAUCGACGCUUUAGUAUUGGAUGAAAAGCCGCCUUCAACACACACUGCACAGUGUUGCCAGUGUGUUGCCACACAACUCGACUCGUUCCGACCUCUCUUCUUCUUCGUCUUUGUUUCCUGUGUAGACGUUUUGCUGUCUAGCUUCCAAAUUGUUUUGUGCAUGCGUUUUCUUCAGUCAUCCAGUGACUUGAUGUUCAAAAUUAGCUAUCCGGCUAGAGCUCCAUAAUUCUAGUUGCAGUUAUGGUUCUUAGUUUUAUUUGAACAGUUAUUUCAAUUCUCAAUGGACGACUUGCAGUCUCCCACUUGUACCGGUGCAAACGCUCAGCCUAUUUUAUAGUUCCUCUCUGUAACUUGCUGUACAAAAUUGAAAUUAUUUAUAUGCAUAUUAUUCGAGAAUUUUGUAAAUAUUUAAAAUCAACUCAGAAAGUAAUAAAUAUAUUAUAUUCAA